UACGGGGGGAGCAAGCGUUGUUCGGAUUUACUGGGCGUAAAGGGCGCGUAGGCGGUCGUGACAAGUCACUUGUGAAAUCUCCGGGCUCAACUCGGAACGGUCAAGUGAUACUGUCGGACUAGAGUACAGAAGGGGCAACUGGAAUUCUCGGUGUAGCGGUGAAAUGCGUAGAUAUCGAGAGGAACACCUGCGGCGAAGGCGGGUUGCUGGGCUGAUACUGACGCUGAGGCGCGAAAGCCAGGGGAGCGAACGGG
rnacentral:rRNA from 1 species